UUCUCCUCCGGCCUGUGGCCCCCUCUAACAGCCCCAAACACCAGCCAGGUAUUUAUUUCCAGGGCUCAAAAGAGAGCUCUGGGGGUGCCAGCCAAGAGCCGGGGAGCAGCUCCCCCGCCCUCUCAGGAAGGUGAGCUUUCACGAGGGGCCUGGCGGCCUCAGCCCUUCAUGCAGCCCUCUUUCCUCCCGUCCUCCCCACUGACAUACUGAAUUUCACUCAUUUAAAAAUAGCUUCCUAGCAGUGAGGAGCUAUCUCUGAACCUGGAUCUCAGGCUUGGAAAUGCAAUGCGGGCCUCCCUCAGCCAAAAGCUGCUCGGCAGGAGCUGAGCGUAAUUCUAGAUCGCUGCUACUUUACACACAGCACAAGAACGUUUUCUGUCCAGAAACUGCCUUGAAAUUUUACGAGGACGUCUGGAUGCCUCACUGCUAAGGACUAGCCGCAGGCCCCCACAGCCCGCCCUGACCCCCACGGAGGCGCACGGGGCCCAGAUGACUCUCCGGGCCUCGGCAGACUGUCCUGGCCUGGGAACCGAUGUGUUUGUCCCACAGAGUCUACAAGGGGCCAAAGAAGAUGGCAGGUCAGAAAGAAGUGCCAGUGACUCGGAGCGGGCACAGGCCCUGGGAAUUCCCAACCUCCCGCCUCCACUUCCCACAGCCCUGGGGGGCUCUCAGCCCUGUGACCUCAAGCCAGUUCCUGACCCUCUUCAGUCUUGCUUUUUCACUCACGGGGAGAAAAUGAUGUGAAGACUUAAUAAUGUGCUCAGCAGAGCACCUGGAGCAUAGGAAGUUAGAGCAAAGUUGCUGUUGCUGUUGGUAUGAUUUUAUGAUUAUUUUUUCCCUUCGGCCCCCAUCAGCCCCAUGCCUGACAUGGUUCAGGAAUGAGGCUGGGUAACAAGACAGCACCUUGUCUUGUUCCGCUGCUUGAGGGACAAGCAGAAAGGCCACAGAGUUGGAACAGAGGAAACCACACAAAGACAUUGUAUUUAAUCUUAACAUUUUCAUUUCUUAAUAUGUAAACACAAUUUCAAA